rnacentral:rRNA from 1 species
AACGCGAAGAACCUUACCAAGGCUUGACAUGUUCUCGAUCGCCGUAGAGAUACGGUUUCCCCUUUGGGGCGGGUUCACAGGUGGUGCAUGGUUGUCGUCAGCUCGUGCCGUGAGAUGUUGGGUUAAGUCCCGCAACGAGCGCAACCCUCGUUCCAUGUUGCCAGCACGUAAUGGUGGGGACUCAUGGGAGACUGCCGGGGUCAACUCGGAGGAAGGUGAGGACGACGUCAAAUCAUCAUGCCCCUUAUGUCUUGGGCUUCACGCAUGCUACAAUGGCCGGUACAAUGGGUUGCGAUACUGUGAGGUGGAGCUAAUCCCAAAAAGCCGGUCUCAGUUCGGAUUGGGGUCUGCAACUCGACCCCAUGAAGUCGGAGUCGCUAGUAAUCGCAGAUCAGCA